rnacentral:rRNA from 1 species
GUGGGGAAUUUUGGACAAUGGAGGAAACUCUGAUCCAGCAAUACCGCGUGAGUGAAGAAGGCCUUCGGGUUGUAAAGCUCUUUUGUUGAAGAAAAAAUCUCGGUAACGAGGAUGAUGGUAUUCAAAGAAAAAGCACCGGCUAACUACGUGCCAGCAGCCGCGGUAAUACGUAGGGUGCGAGCGUUAAUCGGAAUAACUGGGCGUAAAGGGUGAGUAGGCGGUUUAGUAAGAUAGUUGUGAAAUUCCCGCGCUUAACGUGGGGACUGCGGCUAUGACUGCUAAACUAGAAUAGAACAGAGGAAAGUGGAAUUCCACGUGUAGCAGUGAAAUGCGUAGAGAUGUGGAGGAACACCAAUGGCGAAGGCAGCUUUCUGGGUUACUAUUGACGCUCAGUCACGAAAGCGUGGGGAGCAAACAGGAUUAGAAACCCUGGUAGUCC